rnacentral:rRNA from 1 species
AUUGAACGCUGGCGGCAGGCUUAACACAUGCAAGUCGAACGAGUGGCGGACGGGUGAGUAAUGUUUGGGAAUUUAGCUUAUGGAGGGGGAUAACUACUGGAAACGGUAGCUAAUACCGCAUACCAUCGGAUGUGCCCAGAAUGGUUUAGCUAGUAGGUGGGGUAACGGCUCACCUAGGCGACGAUCCCUAGCUGAUCUGAGAGGAUGACCAGCCACACUGGGAAUGAGACACGGCCCAGACUCCGACGGGAGGCAGCAGUGGGGAAUAUUGCGCAAUGGGGGCAACCCUGACGCAGCAAUGCCGCGUGAAUGAAGAAGGCCUUCGGGUUGUAAAGUGCUUUCGGUAGCGAGGCGUUAACUACAGAAGAAGCACCGGCUAACUCCGUGCCAGCAGCCGCGGUAAUUC